UACAUGUGGGGCAAGCGUUGUUCGGAAUUACUGGGCAUAAAGGGUGCGUAGGCGGUUUGUUAAGUCAGGGGUGAAAGUUUUCGGCCCAACCGGAAAAUGGCCUUUGAUACUGGCGAACUCGAGUGCGUGAGGGGUAACCGGAACGAGUGGUGUAGCGGUGAAAUGCGUAGAUAUUGGGAGGAACACCAGUGGCGAAGGCGGCUCACUGGACCGGUACUGACGCUGAUGCGCGAAAGCGUGGGGAGCAAACGGG
rnacentral:rRNA from 1 species